CGGGGUGAGCAACGCGUGGAAAACCUGCCGUAUACUGGGGGAUAACACUUAGAAAUAGGUGCUAAUACCGCAUAAGCGCACAGCUUCGCAUGAAGCGGUGUGAAAAACUCUGGUGGUAUACGAUGGUUCCGCGUCUGAUUAGCUAGUUGGUGGGGUAAUGGCCUACCAAGGCAACGAUCAGUAGCCGGCCUGAGAGGGUGAACGGCCACAUUGGGACUGAGACACGGCCCAAACUCCUACGGGAGGCAGCAG
rnacentral:rRNA from 1 species